UGGGGAAUAUUGGGCAAUGGGCGCAAGCCUGACCCAGCAACGCCGCGUGAGGGAAGAAGGUCUUCGGAUUGUAAACCUCUGUCCUUGGGGACGAAAAAAAUGACGGUACCCAAGGAGGAAGCUCCGGCUAACUACGUGCCAGCCGCCGCGGUAAUACGUAGGGAGCGAGCGUUGUCCGGAAUUACUGGGCGUAAAGGGUGCGUAGGCGGCAUGGCAAGUCAGAUGUGAAAUCCCCGGGCUUAACUCGGGUGGUGCAUUUGAAACUGCCAAGCUUGAGUGCAGGAGAGGAAAGCGGAAUUCCUAGUGUAGCGGUGAAAUGCGUAGAUAUUAGGAGGAACACCGAUGGCGAAGGCAGGUCUCUGGGCCGCAACUGACGCUGAGGAGCGAAAGCAUGGGGAGCGAACAGG
rnacentral:rRNA from 1 species